GACCCAGUGUGGCAUAGUGGUUUGUCCAUUGGACUGUGAUUCUGGAGACCAGGGUUCAAAUCCUUGCAUGGCCA
rnacentral:tRNA from 1 species